AUUGAACGCUGGCGGCAUGCCUUACACAUGCAAGUCGAACGGUAACGGGCCUUCGGGUGCCGACGAGUGGCGAACGGGUGAGUAAUGUAUCGGAACGUACCUUUCAGUGGGGGAUAACGUAGCGAAAGUUACGCUAAUACCGCAUAUUCUGUGCGCAGGAAAGCAGGGGAUCGCAAGACCUUGCGCUGGUUGAGCGGCCGAUAUCAGAUUAGCUGGUUGGUGAGGUAAAGGCUCACCAAGGCGACGAUCUGUAGCGGGUCUGAGAGGAUGAUCCGCCACACUGGAACUGAGACACGGUCCAGACUCCUACGGGAGGCAGCAGUGGGGAAUUUUGGACAAUGGGCGCAAGCCUGAUCCAGCCAUGCCGCGUGAGUGAAGAAGGCCU
rnacentral:rRNA from 1 species